rnacentral:misc_RNA from 1 species
AACCUUAUGGACCUGCGGGCGUAUACCUGCGGAGGGAUCAUUACACAAUAACAUAUGAAGGCUGUACGCGGCUGCGCCCUCGGGCCAGUUGGCUGAGGCUGGAGUAUUUAUUACCCUUGUCUUUUGCGCACUUGUUGUUUCCUGGGCGGGUUCGCCCGCCACCAGGACCACAUGAUAAACCUUUUUUUAUGCAGUUGCAAUCAGCGUCAGUACAACAAAUGUAAAUCAUUUACAACUUUC